ACACAUGCAAGUCGAGGGGCAGCAUGGUCUUUGCUUGCUAAGGCCGAUGGCGACCGGCGCACGGGUGAGUAACACGUAUCCAACCUGCCGUCUACUCUUGGACAGCCUUCUGAAAGGAAGAUUAAUACAAGAUGGCAUCAUGAGUCCGCAUGUUCACAUGAUUAAAGGUAUUCCGGUAGACGAUGGGGAUGCGUUCCAUUAGAUAGUAGGCGGGGUAACGGCCCACCUAGUCUUCGAUGGAUAGGGGUUCUGAGAGGAAGGUCCCCCACAUUGGAACUGAGACACGGUCCAAACUCCUACGGGAGGCAGCAGUGAGGAAUAUUGGUCAAUGGGCGAGAGCCUGAACCAGCCAAGUAGCGUGAAGGAUGACUGCCCUAUGGGUUGUAAACUUCUUUUAUAAAGGAAUAAAGUCGGGUAUGGAUACCCGUUUGCAUGUACUUUAUGAAUAAGGAUCGGCUAACUCCGUGCCAGCAGCCGCGGUAAUACGGAGGAUCCGAGCGUUAUCCGGAUUUAUUGGGUUUAAAGGGAGCGUAGAUGGAUGUUUAAGUCAGUUGUGAAAGUUUGCGGCUCAACCGUAAAAUUGCAGUUGAUACUGGAUAUCUUGAGUGCAGUUGAGGUAGGCGGAAUUCGUGGUGUAGCGGUGAAAUGCUUAGAUAUCACGAAGAACUCCGAUUGCGAAGGCAGCCUGCUAAGCUGCAACUGACAUUGAGGCUCGAAAGUGUGGGUAUCAAACAGGAUUAGAUACCCUGGUAGUCCACACGGUAAACGAUGAAUACUCGCUGUUUGCGAUAUACAGCAAGCGGCCAAGCGAAAGCGUUAAGUAUUCCACCUGGGGAGUACGCCGGCAACGGUGAAACUCAAAGGAAUUGACGGGGGCCCGCACAAGCGGAGGAACAUGUGGUUUAAUUCGAUGAUACGCGAGGAACCUUACCCGGGCUUAAAUUGCAGAUGAAUUACGGUGAAAGCCGUAAGCCGCAAGGCAUCUGUGAAGGUGCUGCAUGGUUGUCGUCAGCUCGUGCCGUGAGGUGUCGGCUUAAGUGCCAUAACGAGCGCAACCCUUGUUGUCAGUUACUAACAGGUUCCGCUGAGGACUCUGACAAGACUGCCAUCGUAAGAUGUGAGGAAGGUGGGGAUGACGUCAAAUCAGCACGGCCCUUACGUCCGGGGCUACACACGUGUUACAAUGGGGGGUACAGAGGGCCGCUACCACGCGAGUGGAUGCCAAUCCCCAAAACCUCUCUCAGUUCGGACUGGAGUCUGCAACCCGACUCCACGAAGCUGGAUUCGCUAGUAAUCGCGCAUCAGCCACGGCGCGGUGAAUACGUUCCCGGGCCUUGUACACACCGCCCGUCAAGCCAUGGGAGCCGGGGGUACCUGAAGUGCGUAACCGCGAGGAGCGCCCUAGGGUAAAACUGGUGACUGGGGCUAAG
rnacentral:rRNA from 1 species